GACGAACGCUGGCGGCGUGCUUAACACAUGCAAGUCGAACGGAAAGGCCCUGCUUUUGUGGGGUGCUCGAUUGGCGAACGGGUGAGUAACACGUGAGUAACCUGCCCUUGACUUUGGGAUAACUUCAGGAAACUGGGGCUAAUACCGGAUAGGAGCUCCUGCUGCAUGGUGGGGGUUGGAAAGUUUCGGCGGUUGGGGAUGGACUCGCGGCUUAUCAGCUUGUUGGUGGGGUAGUGGCUUACCAAGGCUUUGACGGGUAGCCUGCCUGAGAGGGUGACCGGCCACAUUGGGACUGAGAGACGGCCCAGACUCCUACGGGAGGCAGCAGUGGGGAAUAUGGCACAAUGGGCGGAAGCCUGAUGCAGCAACGCCGCGUGCGGGAUGACGGCCUUCGGGUUGUAAACCGCUUUCGCCUGUGACGAAGCGUGAGUGACGGUAAUGGGUAAAGAAGCACCGGCUAACUACGUG
rnacentral:rRNA from 1 species